GCCUUCGUGGUGUAAUGGUCAGCACACUGAGCUGGUAUUUCAGAGGUCCGUGGUUCGAUCCCCGGCGAAGGCA
rfam:Stegodyphus mimosarum contig115211, whole genome shotgun sequence.